rnacentral:rRNA from 1 species
GAGCUGUUUUCUCUGAAGUUUUCGGAUGGAAGAGAGUUCAGCUUAGUGGCGAACGGGUGAGUAACACGUGAGCAACCUGCCUUUCAGUGGGGGACAACAUUUGGAAACGAAUGCUAAUACCGCAUAAGACCACAGUGUCGCAUGGCACAGGGGUCAAAGGAUUUAUCCGCUGAAAGAUGGGCUCGCGUCCGAUUAGCUAGAUGGUGAGGUAACGGCCCACCAUGGCGACGAUCGGUAGCCGGACUGAGAGGUUGAACGGCCACAUUGGGACUGAGACACGGCCCAGACUCCUACGGGAGGCAGCAGUGGGGAAUAUUGCACAAUGGGGGAAACCCUGAUGCAGCGACGCCGCGUGGAGGAAGAAGGUCUUCGGAUUGUAAACUCCUGUCCCAGGGGACGAUAAUGACGGUACCCUGGGAGGAAGCACCGGCUAACUACGUGCCAGCAGCCGCGGUAAAACGUAGGGUGCAAGCGUUGUCCGGAAUUACUGGGUGUAAAGGGAGCGCAGGCGGAUUGGCAAGUUGGGAGUGAAAUCUAUGGGCUCAACCCAUAAAUUGCUUUCAAAACUGUCAGUCUUGAGUGGUGUAGAGGUAGGCGGAAUUCCCGGUGUAGCGGUGGAAUGCGUAGAUAUCGGGAGGAACACCAGUGGCGAAGGCGGCCUACUGGGCACUAACUGACGCUGAGGCUCG